rnacentral:rRNA from 1 species
UCAAGUUAUUAAGGGUGCAGGGCGGAUGCCUUGGCACUAGGAGCCGAUGAAGGACGUGAUAAGCUGCGAUAAGCUUCGGGGAGUUGCACGUAAACUUUGAUCCGAAGAUUUCCGAAUGAGGAAACUCACUUAGAGUAAUGUCUAAGUAUCAUUAAGUGAAUACAUAGCUUAAUGAGGGGAACUCAGGGAACUGAAACAUCUAAGUACCUGAAGGAAGAGAAAGAAAUUCGAUUCCGUAAGUAGCGGCGAGCGAACGCGGAUUAGCCCAAACCAAUAAAGUUUUCUUUAUUGGGGUUGCGGACAUAUCAUAACGAAGAGGUAUCGUAAUUGAAGAGGUUUGGAAAGACCCACCACAGAAGGUAAUAGUCCUGUAUGUUAAACGAAAAGACUUUAGAUAUGAUCCAGAGUACCACGGGACACGUGAAACCCUGUGGGAAGCAGGAGGGACCACCCUCCAAGGCUAAAUACUACCUAGUGACCGAUAGCGUAUAGUACCGUGAGGGAAAGGUGAAAAGAACCCCGGGAGGGGAGUGAAAUAGAACCUGAAACCCUGCACUUACAAGCUGUGGAAGCACAUUUCUUGUGUGACCGCGUACUUUUUGUAGAACGGGCCAACGAGUUACGUUAAGUAGCAAGGUUAAGCACUUAAGGUGCGGAGCCGUAGCGAAAGCGAGUUUUAACUGAGCGUUCAGUUACUUGACGUAGACCCGAAACCGGGCGACCUACCCAUGAGCAGGAUGAAGCGAAAGUAAAAUUUCGUGGAGGUCCGAACCCACGAGCGUUGAAAAGCUCGGGGAUGACUUGUGGGUAGCGGUGAAAUUCCAAUCGAGCCCGGAGAUAGCUGGUUCUCCCCGAAAUAGCUUUAGGGCUAGCCUCAAGGUGAGAGAUACGGAGGUAGAGCACUGAAUGUCCUAGGGGGUAUUGCACCUACCGAAGACUAUCAAACUCCGAAUGCCGUCAUCUUAUACUUGGGAGUCAGACUGUGGGUGAUAAGAUUCAUAGUCGAAAGGGCAACAGCCCAGAUCGUCAGCUAAGGUCCCUAAAUGUAAGUUAAGUGGUAAAGGAUGUGGGAUUGCACAGACAACCAGGAUGUUGGCUUAGAAGCAGCCACUCAUUCAAAGAGUGCGUAAUAGCUCACUGGUCGAGUGAUCCUGCGCCGAAGAUUUCCGGGGCUAAAACUUACUACCGAAGCUACGGCAUCAGUAAUGAUGGGUAGGGGAGCUUCCCAUACGGGUUGAAGCAUGACCGUAAGGACAUGUGGACAGUAUGGGAGUGAGAAUGUUGGCAUGAGUAGCGAGAUGUGGGUGAGAAUCCCACAGGCCGUAAACCCAAGGUUUCCAGGGGAAGGUUCGUCCGCCCUGGGUUAGUCGGGACCUAAGCUGAGGCCGAAAGGCGUAGGUGAUGGACAACAGGUUGAUAUUCCUGUACUACCGAUAACCGUUUGAGAGAAGGGAUGACACAGUAGGAUAAGCUAAGCACACUGUUGGUUAUGUGUGCCCAAGCAUUGAGGCAGUCAAAGUAGGCAAAUCCGCUUUGAUAAUGCUGGGAUGUGAUGGGGAGCGAAAUUUAGUAGCGAAGUAGCUGAUUUCACACUGUCAAGAAAAGUCUCUAUCGAGGUUAAAGGUACCCGUACCGCAAACCGACACAGGUGGGUGAGGAGAGUAUCCUAAGGCCAGCGAGAGAACUGUUGUUAAGGAACUCGGCAAAAUGACCCCGUAACUUAGGGAUAAGGGGUGCCACCAUCAGGUGGCCGCAGAGAAUAGGCCCAAGCGACUGUUUACCAAAAACAUAGGUUUCUGCUAAGUCGCAAGACGAUGUAUAGGAGCUGACGCCUGCCCGGUGCUGGAAGGUUAAGGGGAUCUGUUAGAGCAAUCGAAGCAGUGAACUUAAGCCCCAGUAAACGGCGGCCGUAACUAUAACGGUCCUAAGGUAGCGAAAUUCCUUGUCGGGUAAGUUCCGACCCGCACGAAAGGCGUAACGAUUUGGGCACUGUCUCAACAACAGACUCGGUGAAAUUGUAAUUCCGGUGAAGAUGCCGGAUACCUGCGACAGGACGGAAAGACCCCAUGGAGCUUUACUGUAGCUUGACAUUGGGUCUUGGUACUACAUGUACAGGAUAGGUGGGAGGCUUUGAAACCAGGACGCCAGUUUUGGCGGAGCCAUCCUUGGGAUACCACCCUUGUAGUACUGGGACUCUAACCAUAGGCCAUGAAUCUGGUCUUGGGACACUGUCAGGUGGGCAGUUUGACUGGGGCGGUCGCCUCCCAAAAGGUAACGGAGGCGCUCAAAGGUUCUCUCAGUACGGUCGGAAAUCGUACGUAGAGUGUAAAGGCAAAAGAGAGCUUGAUUGCAAGACAUACAGGUCGAGCAAGGAUGAAAAUCGGACUUAGUGAUCCGGUGGUUCUGCGUGGAAGGGCCAUCGCUCAACGGAUAAAAGCUACCCUGGGGAUAACAGGCUUAUCUCCCCCAAGAGUCCACAUCGACGGGGAGGUUUGGCACCUCGAUGUCGGCUCAUCACAUCCUGGGGCUGUAGUAGGUCCCAAGGGUUGGGCUGUUCGCCCAUUAAAGUGGUACGCGAGCUGGGUUCAGAACGUCGUGAGACAGUUCGGUCCCUAUCCGUCGCAGGCGUAGGAAAUUUGAGAAGACCUGUCCUUAGUACGAGAGGACCGGGAUGGACGUACCUCUGGUGUACCAGUUGUCCUGCCAAGGGCAUGGCUGGGUAGCUAUGUACGGAAUGGAUAAGCGCUGAAAGCAUCUAAGCGCGAAGCCAACUUCAAGAUAAGAUUUCCCACCGCAAGGGUAAGACCCCAGAAAGACUAUCUGGUUGAUAGGUCGAAGGUGUAAGUGCAGCAAUGUAUUUAGCUUAUCGAUACUAAUAGGUCGAGGACUUGACCAA